rnacentral:precursor_RNA from 15 species
UUCUCUGGAACUUUCUUCUCCUAAGCCCAGUAGCGUGGGGAGGUUAGCUUCUCGUGUUUUGGUUUCCAGUAGCUCGCCCCACCACGAUACUGAGCUUUAGGGGUCCUGCCACCAGACUCAG